GGAUGCGAUCAUACCAGCACUAAAGCACCGGAUCCCAUCAGAACUACAAAGUUAAGCGUGCUUGGGCGAGAGUAGUACUAGGAUGGGUGACCUCCUGGGAAGUCCUCGUGUUGCAUUCC
rfam:Triticum aestivum genome assembly, contig: Triticum_aestivum_CS42_TGACv1_scaffold_089087_1DS